rnacentral:rRNA from 1 species
GCGUGUGUGAUGAAGGUCCUUGCGUUUGUAGAGCACUUUCUGCUGACGAGGAUGCUACUGUGAUCCGUCCUCUGGGGUCUUGGACGUUGACUCGCACUACCUUACGCCGGCUAACUCUGUGCCAGCAGCCGCGGUAAUACAGAGGGUGCGAGCGUUAUCGGAUUUACUGGGCGUAAAGCGUGCGUAGGCGGCUUUUAAGUCGGAUGUGAAAUCCCCGAGCUUAACUUGGGAAUUGCAUUCGAUACUGGGAAGCUAGAGUAUGGGAGAGGAUGGUAGAAUUCCAAGUGUAGCGGUGAAAUGCGUAGAGAUCUGGAGGAAUACCGAUGGCGAAGGCAGCCAUCUGGCCUAAUACUGACGCUGAGGUACGAAAGCAUGGGGAGCAAACAGGAUUAGAUACCCUGGUAGUCCAUGCCGUAAACGAUGUCUACUAGCCGUUGGGGCCUUUGAGGCUUUAAUGGCGCAGCUAACGCGAUAAGUAGACCGCCUGGGGAGUACGGUCGCAAGAAUAAAACUCAAAUGAAUUGACGGGGGCCCGCACAAGCGGUGGAGCAUGUGGUUUAAUUCGAUGCCACGCGAAAGACCUUACCUGGCUUGACAUACUAGAAAUU